rnacentral:rRNA from 1 species
UACGUAGGGUGCGAGCGUUAAUCGGAAUUACUGGGCGUAAAGUGUGCGCAGGCGGCCGCGCAAGCCGAGUGUGAAAGCCCCGAGCUUAACUUGGGAACUGCGCUCGAAACUACGUGGCUGGAGUGUGGCAGAGGGAGGUGGAAUUCCACGUGUAGCGGUGAAAUGCGUAGAGAUGUGGAGGAACACCGAUGGCGAAGGCAGCCUCCUGGGCCAACACUGACGCUCAUGCACGAAAGCGUGGGGAGCAAACAGG